rnacentral:rRNA from 1 species
CCCAGUGUGAUUCGUCACACUAUCAUUAACUGAAUCCAUAGGUUAAUGAGGCGAACCGGGGGAACUGAAACAUCUAAGUACCCCGAGGAAAAGAAAUCAACCGAGAUUCCCCCAGUAGCGGCGAGCGAACGGGGAGCAGCCCAGAGCCUGAAUCAGUGUGUGUGUUAGUGGAAGCGUCUGGAAAGGCGCGCGAUACAGGGUGACAGCCCCGUACACAAAAAUGCACAUAUUGUGAGCUCGAUGAGUAGGGCGGGACACGUGGUAUCCUGUCUGAAUAUGGGGGGCCCAUCCUCCAAGGCUAAAUACUCCUGACUGACCGAUAGUGAACCAGUACCGUGAGGGAAAGGCGAAAAGAACCCCGGCGAGGGGAGUGAAAAAGAACCUGAAACCGUGUACGUACAAGCAGUGGGAG